UAAAGCUAUGGAAGUAUUGCGGACUGUGCGGCAAAUUAAUAAGUAUAGGCCCAUAAAAUUAUAUUGCCGGAGAGUGGACAUACCGGAUUAUUACUUGCUCUUGACAAGGCCUUCAUUGUUUCUAUAAAUAUAUCGAGUUUAAGUAUAUAGUAUAUACAUACAUCAACUCAACUAUGUGCACGAUGAGCUCAGAUGCCUAGAUCGCUUGACAAAUCUAGCUGUAAUUAAGGGGCUCUAUAUAAGAUUGAAAUUCAUCAUAUGUUAUUAACUUUACUUUUUGAUAAUAAAUAUAUCUGUAAUAUCUGAA